UACGUAGGGGGCUAGCGUUGUCCGGAAUCAUUGGGCGUAAAGAGCGUGUAGGCGGUCCGGUAAGUCCGCUGUGAAAGUCGGGGGCUCAACCCUCGAAUGCCGGUGGAUACUGUCGGGCUAGAGUGCGGAAGAGGCGAGUGGAAUUCCUGGUGUAGCGGUGAAAUGCGCAGAUAUCAGGAGGAACACCAGCGGCGAAGGCGGCGCUCUGGGCCGGAACUGACGCUGAGGCGCGAAAGCGUGGGUAGCAAACAGG
rnacentral:rRNA from 1 species